CACUGUGCCAGCCACAACCAGCCCCAGAGCUCUCCUUCCCUAGGAUGUUUAGAGACGCUGCCUCUCUGAUGUUCCCUUCAGUACUGCUUGCGACCAUGCAGGCCCUGGCUGACAAGCUCCAGAAACCUUGAUGUGGAACCUAGCACCUUCAUGCAAGAACAGCAGUUGGUACCCUUGUACCCCUUGAGCUGUGGCCAAGCUGGAUCCCUUCUGUUCCACUUCACACAGGGCUUCGUUGCUCCCUUUAUUUCUCUUUUACUUCCUCC